CAGCCGCCGCGGUAAUACGAAGGGGGCUAGCGUUGCUCGGAAUUACUGGGCGUAAAGGGAGCGUAGGCGGAUGUUUAAGUCAGAGGUGAAAGCCCAGGGCUCAACCUUGGAACUGCCUUUGAUACUGGACAUCUUGAGUGUGGGAGAGGUAAGCGGAACUCCGAGUGUAGAGGUGAAGUGCGUAGAGAUGUGGAGGAACACCAGUGGCGAAGGCGACUCUCUGGUCUGUAACUGACGCUGAGGAGCGAAAGCGUGGGGAGCGAACAGGAUUAGAUACCCGUGUAGUCCCUGUCUCUUAUAU
rnacentral:rRNA from 1 species